CUAUUAGUAGUUGUUUAUUUGUUUGUUUGCAGAAAUAAUUGCUUGGGUACGAAGGUCAAACGAGAAUGAGCAAAUGUUAAAACCUCUUUGGGAAAGCAAUGUGGCAAAAUCUAGUAAAAGUUUUCAAUUACUAAACCCCAGCACUCUGCUCCUACCUAUAUGUCUUGUAGAAACUUUGGUAAGUGAACAAGGAUGUACGUAACAGCGCUGUGGGUAGAAGCAAAAAAUUAGAAACGUCCAUCAAUAACAGAAUAAAUACCUUAUGGGAUGUUAGGAUGUAGUAUUAUACGCCAAUAAAAGAAGACUGAACUCAGAAAUGUGAUGAGGCAAAAAGAGAAAGAUGUAGAAAAAUAAAUAGUAUGACAAUUCAUAUACAUUCAACUCUAAAACUUGUAAAACAAUGCUAUAUAUUGCUUAGUUAUGCAUACAUAUGUAGUUAAAGAAGUCAAGAAAUACAAGAGAAUGAAAAUCAAGUUGAGAAAAGCAGUCAUAUCUGAGGCUUCCUAAGAGAAGUGAUGCCCAAGACAUUAAAACAUGAAUGGGCGUUAGAUGAAGACAAAAGAGCAUUCCAUCGUAGAAGACAAUGUAGCAUGUGACGAGUGAAAUACAGGACUGCAAAUUA
rnacentral:lncRNA from 1 species